CUUGAAAAGGACAGCCGCCAGCAGGCAAAAAGUGCAACAUGGCAGCAGGAACGCCGGCUUCGGGUCACAUCUUCCAAGUUUGGUGCGGUCCUGAAUAGGAAGGAGUGGACUAUUAAGGGCCUGCAGAACCUCACAGCUGCAAGAGACCUUUCUAGAGUUACUGCAGUCAAUUACGGCAUCAAGAUGGAGUCGCUAGCUGCUCAACGCUACGAGGAUGCUCUACGCCGUCUGGGCCAUGCUCCUACAGUUAGCACCUGUGGAUUGCUGGUUAACCCAGCUUUUCCUUGGUUGGGUGCGUCGCCCGACAGGAUUGUGUACGACCCCACAGAACAAUCCUAUGGUGUAGUGGAGAUAAAGUGUCCCUACUCUUUA